AGGUAAACGAGAAUUUAAAACGUAACGAAUUGUUUUUUUCUAAAUGCGAAUCACGUGUACUAUAUGUAUUCGAAAGCGUCCUAGUUAUACCCGGUAAUCGAAGAGUAAAUAGGGUAUACUGUAUUUGUGGGGAAUAACGUUUGUAUGUAACGCGCAGAAGGAAACGUUUCCGACCCCAUAAAGUAUAUAUAUUCUUGAUCAGCAUUAAUAGACGAAACGAUAGAGCCAUGUCUGUCUGUCCGUCCGUCCGUCUGUCCGUUUGUUUGUCGGCUCGUUCUCAGAGACUAUAAGAGCUAGAGCCACCAAAUUUUGCAUCCAGACUGUUAUAUGCUCACACUGAAAUCAGUGUAUUUCAAAAAUGAGCCGCGCCCCCUUCCGCCCCCGCAAAAGGGCGAAAACCUCCCAAAUCUACAGUUUUGAAGAUAAAAGAAAACUAAAAACGCUAUUCCGUACGGAAUGGCCAUAUCUAUCAGAUCACCAAAUUGGGAUCCGAUUGGAUCAUUAUUAUAGCCACAAUGAAGAAAUUAAUUUCCAGUGGCUAAACCCACCCUGUCCCGAAGCUUUUGUUGUUUUUUUUACAUUCUCUCAUUCAAACUCAUGCCCUCCCCCUGCCGAUGCCUCUACCGACUUUUAACCCACCCCGUCCCACAGCUUUUAUUUGUUUUUUUAUACCCGGUACUCGAAGAGUAAAUAGGGUAUAUUGUAUUUGUGCGAAUAACGGUUGUACGGCGUUUCCGACCCCAUAAAGUAUAUAUAUUCUUGAUCAGCAUCAAUAGCCGAGUCGAUGGAGCCAUGUCUAUAUGUCCGUCUGUCCGUCUUGUUUGUCUGCUCGUUCCCAGAGACUAUAAGAGCUAGAGCCACCAAAUUUUGGCUCCGGACUGCUGUAUGCUCACACUGAAACCAGUGUAUUUCAAAAAUGAGCCACGCCCCUUCCGCAGGAAAUGGCCAUAUCUAUCAGAUCACCAAAUUGGGAUCCGAUCGGAUCAUUAUUAUAGCCACCACAAUGGAGAAAUUAAUUUCCAGUGGCUAAACCCACCCUGUCCCGAAGCUUUUGUUGUUUUUUUUACAUUCUCUCAUUCAAACUCAUGCCCUCCCCCUGCCGAUGCCUCUACCGACUUUUAACCCACCCCGUCCCACAGCUUUUAUUUGUUUUUUUAUACCCGGUACUCGAAGAGUAAAUAGGGUAUAUUGUAUUUGUGCGAAUAACGGUUGUACGGCGUUUCCGACCCCAUAAAGUAUAUAUAUUCUUGAUCAGCAUCAAUAGCCGAGUCGAUGGAGGCAUGUCUAUAUGUCCGUCUGUCCGUCUUGUUUGUCUGCUCGUUCUCAGAGACUAUAAGAGCUAGAGCCACCAAAUUUUGGCUCCGGACUGCUGUAUGCUCACACUGAAACCAGUGUAUUUCAAAAAUGAGCCACGCCCCUUCCGCAGGAAAUGGCCAUAUCUAUCAGAUCACCAAAUUGGGAUCCGAUCGGAUCAUUAUUAUAGCCACCACAAUGGAGACAUUAAUUUCCAGUGGCUAAAACCCACCCUGUCCCGCAGCUUUUGUUGCUCUUUUUACAUUCUCUCAUUCACACUCUGCUUCUGCUUCACUCGGCCCCUGCCUCUGCCUUCCCCUUGGCGAUGACUCUUCCGACUUUUAACCCACCCCGUCCCACAGCUUAUAUUUGUUUUUUUUUUUUUGUGUGCGGGCGCUGCCACUGCCGCGAGUCUGCAGUGUGUGGGUCAAAGGAAGAGCGGCGAGCUGAAGAAGCGUGUUUGUGUGAGAAGUGUUGUAGAUGUAGAUGACAGUUGAAGAAAAAAUUUUAAUUUUGACAAAACACCGCUAAGGUUCAGAUGCACUAUUGUCCCAAAGACCAGUUGUGGUGGCCAAAAGCUAAUUUUUAAAAGUUUAAACCAAGAAUGGGGUUUUAACGCUCUGUAUUAGAAAAAGAGUGACCAUCAAAGUUGCUUACAAGAAAUUUUCAUAGAUGGCGCCACUUUCGAAAAGUCUGAUGUGAAACCUAGCGGUCAUUAUUGCAUAGAAUGUGCAGACCAUUGGACCAUCAAAGUUGCGUACAAGAAAUUUUCAUAGAUGGCGCCACUUUCGAAAAAUUUGCUGUGAAACCUAUCGGUCCAAGAAUGUACCAAUUUUAUUGCUGUUUAAAAUAUCUCAUAAAUUGGAAAAUAUUAACUGAUCCAAUUAGUUUGAUGCAUUUUAUUUAGUAGGCUCUUACUACGUGUUCUGUAAUGUGAACGAUAUCUAGUGGUUGGCGGGUAUAAAAGUUGUGGCACGUAAGAAGUGUCUAACACGUCCCUUCUCGUUUUUGUGUGCGGGCGGUGCAUCUGCCUUUGCCUCGAGCCUGCAGUGUGUGGGUCUAGGGAAGGGCGGUGUGCUAACGGAGCGUGUUGGUGUGAGAAGUGUUGUAGAUGUAGAUGACAGAUGAAGAAAAAAUGUAAAAUUUGACAAAACACCGCUAAGGUGCAGAUGUAGUACUGAGUGCCGGGUAUAAAAGUUGUGACGCGUAAAAAGCGUCUCACACGUCCCUUCUCGUUUUAUAUCAAUUUGAUUGUUGUUAAGUUUCGCGUUGAAUUUUGAAUUUUUGUUAUCAACGCUUGA
rnacentral:lncRNA from 1 species